rnacentral:rRNA from 1 species
GACGAACGCUGGCGGCGUGCUUAACACAUGCAAGUCGAACGGAAAGGCCCUGCUUUUGUGGGGUGCUCGAGUGGCGAACGGGUGAGUAACACGUGAGUAACCUGCCCUUGACUUUGGGAUAACUUCAGGAAACUGGGGCUAAUACCGGAUAGGAGCUCCUGCUUCAUGGUGGGGGUUGGAAAGUUUCGGCGGUUGGGGAUGGACUCGCGGCUUAUCAGCUUGUUGGUGGGGUAGUGGCUUACCAAGGCUUUGACGGGUAGCCGGCCUGAGAGGGUGACCGGCCACAUUGGGACUGAGAUACGGCCCAGACUCCUACGGGAGGCAGCAGUGGGGAAUAUUGCACAAUGGGCGGAAGCCUGAUGCAGCAACGCCGCGUGCGGGAUGACGGCCUUCGGGUUGUAAACCGCUUUCGCCUGUGACGAAGAGUGAGUGACGGUAAUGGGUAAAGAAGCACCGGCUAACUACGUG